GGCGGGAGGGAGCGGCUGCGGCGGGCGCGGGGCCGCCAUGAGGUAGGCAGGAGCCCCCCUUGGCCGAGUGAGGCAGCAUGGCAAGUGGGAGUCGAGAGGAGGUGCUGAAGGUCUGAUCUCUCCGGGACUACCCGGAGGCUGCAGCAUUUCUGUCUCUGUGUGGUGCAGGAUGGGCCUCCCCAGGGCUCUCUGGGCUGCCUGUCUGCGCUGACAUCUCUCAUCCACAGUGCCCCUCAUGCCCAUGACUGGCACCCUGCCAGUGCCCACCCUGGGGGCCACACUGCCUUGUGUGGCCGGUGGCACGGGGGCUCUGUAUUCUGUGGAAGCUGCUGAGCUCAGCCCCACCCCGAGCUCGCUGUGGCACACCCAGAGCAGUGCUGGGCCAGCACUAAAGAUGGGCUGAGACUGGCGAGGCUGCAGAGGGGUGUGUGGUCUGUCCAGAGCCUCCCUCCUCGCUCUCCUGGGCAGCCUGCACGGAGGCUCCGUGCCCUGGUGUGAUGGGAGCGUAAGGAGAACGGCAGUAAUGAAGGGGGAGAUGGAGAGAUCUGUCUGGGAUCUCGGGAUUUGCUUGGAGUGUCACCAGAGCCAGCUGUGAAGGUGGAGGCAGGAGCCACGCUGGGGAGGAGGAGGACCCAGGGAUGACAGUGGCCAGCUCAGCAUGGCAAAGCAGGGAAAGGUGACUGCUUUCUGCAGGGAUGGAAAACCCUGACAGUGAGAUCUGCAGGCAAGCUUGUUGCUCUAAGAUGUGCUGAGGAAGUUGAAAUCUGAGUCUCAGGCUCAAGUGCCAAGGAGGGGAGAGUUUUUACCACGGCCUGAUCAAGGUGGGAGGCAAAGGAAGUGAGGCCAGACUUCUCCAGCAAAGUGCGGGACAUUUGCAGAAUGAAUGUUGUCUUUGUAAAAAUUCAUCUCCUUCUGGAAAGGCUCAAGACAAGGCCAGCCUGCCAGCCUGUUUCCUCUCCAGCCAGGAAAGGCCUCCUCAACUGUGAAAGCCAAGGCAAGCUGAUCCCUGCCCUUCUGCAAGAUGCCUUCUGUGCCUCUUGAAAAUGCUUUUUCGGUUGUUCUUGUAAAAAAAAAAAAAUGGUUUGCAUAAUAAAGUCGAUUCUGAGGGAA